UAGGGAAUCUUCCACAAUGGACGCAAGUCUGAUGGAGCAACGCCGCGUGAGUGAAGAAGGUUUUCGGACCGUAAAGCUCUGUUGUAAGUCAAGAACGGGUGUGAGAGUGGAAAGUUCACACUGUGACGGUAGCUUACCAGAAAGGGACGGCUAACUACGUGCCAGCAGCCGCGGUAAUACGUAGGUCCCGAGCGUUGUCCGGAUUUAUUGGGCGUAAAGCAGAGCGCAGGUCGGUUGAUAAGUCUGAAGUUAAAGGCUGUGGCUCAACCAUAGUUCGCUUUGGAAACUGUCAAACUUGAGUGCAGAAGGGGAGAGUGGAAUUCCAUGUGUAGCGGUGAAAUGCGUAGAUAUAUGGAGGAACACCGGUGGCGAAAGCGGCUCUCUGGUCUGUAACUGACGCUGAGGCUCGGAAGCGUGGGGAGCGAACAGGAUUAGAUACCCUGGUAGUCCACGCCGUAAACGAUGAGUGCUAGGUGUUGGAUCCUUUCCGGGAUUCAGUGCCGCAGCUAACGCAUUAAGCACUCCGCCUGGGGGAGUACGACCGCAAGGUUG
rnacentral:rRNA from 1 species